AUAAUAACGAGAGUUUCAUAUCGUCAGAAAGGCCCAGAACUAUUGUUAAGAUGUUCCGCAUACCCCUAUUUCCCGACUGGUUCGCCCCGUUGCCAUGCUAUCUUGUGUAGACAUUCUCCAGGGUGAUGGAGAAGAAAAUGUAGUAACUCGGUCGGGAAAAAAAGGGGAAGAAAGUACGCCGUGCUGCUCCGUUUUUGCGUUAACCGAGACAACCGUUACAAUGGCCGGUAUGAGGAGAGUUAAUGGGAAAUUCUCCGGAAUAAAGCCCGCCGUCAGUUGCUGUCGCCUGCGUCAGGUCCAGGCUCUGCUUUUUGAAGGAGGCACCGCCACUCCUGACGGCAUCCUGUGCUCUCUGGGAAUUGACAGCAGAUAUAAUGAAGGAUGCACUGAGCUGGCCAAAUACUUGUUCUAUGGACUGUAUGAACGAAAUCCGGUGAAUCUGGAACAUGUCAUUGAGGAAUUUCCUGAAGAAAUGCUGGAUGAUGUGAUCCUGCUGAUUAAAGCCGAGUGCGUUCAUCUCUACUGCAACCCGCUGAACUUCAGUUACCUGUUGCCUUAUGUGUCUCACUGGAGGAACCUGCAUCUCUACUGCAUGACAAAGGCAGAGUAUGAAGAUGAAGAGGCUGCAGAGGAAUUCAAGAUCUCCAGUUUUGUUUCGAUGGUGCAGGAUUGCUAUCGUAUCGGCGUUCCUUACAGCUCCCAAGGACACAUCCAGAGGUUUGAUAUGUUUAUGGUGGAAAAGUGGCCCCUAAUUCAAGCGUUUGCCCUGGAAGGUAUCGGAGGAGGAAGCUUUUUUACCAUGAAAUAUGAGCUCAUGGACAUGAGUGAGAAGCUGUGGCAGGUUUACAACAGACUCGAUCCAGUGUCCCUGGAUAAUCUACUCACAGAAGACCUGGUGAGCUUUGAGAAGCAGUGGAGUGGCUUCUUCUCCAGCAUGGACCUGGAGAGUCAUCUGUCCAUCUUGGAGCUUUCUGAAGCUCAGGCAGGAGAGGCGUUUCGUACUUAUUACUCUCAUGGGCUGAUCUCAAGCAGCAUCACAGAUAAAAGUAAAAGUCAGCAGCCCUUGGUGCUGUUUGGGAAACAUUCCUCCCUAAAGGACCUGGAGAGCUAUUCAUUCAACUUUCCUUCAGAGAGUCAUCAGGUCCGCAACACGGGGCCUCAGGCUUCUACAGCCAGACAUAUGAUUCUGCAGUGUGUGGCUCCCAAAGGACCUCUUGCCUGCUCUCGAACCUAUUUCUUCGGGACAACCCACACUCCUUAUCUUGGGAAUCAAAACACAGAGCAAAAGGAAACAGAAGUUUUACUUCUAUCACAGAUUUAUUCAGCUGCAGUUCAAGCAGUGCUGUCAGGAAUCAAAUGCUACUCCUGCACCACCAGCGCUACCAAGGCUAAGGAUGUAGCUGAGAACACUUUUCUGAUGGCGUUGGACUCAUUGAAUUUAAGUCAAUACCGCAGCGCUCUCAGGUCCAAAUGUGAAUUCAGCAUUCAAGCAGUAAAUAAGCAAGGAAUAAUCAUUCCUCUGACUGAUGGAGACAGCCGCUAUGUAGUAAAAACAGCCUCCCUGAUCGUUCAUGACAUCCCAGACCUGCAGUGGGACAGAGGAAAUCUGGGCUCUGUGGUCUUCUCUGAAUCCUUCUUGGAGUCCAGCAUCAACAUUCAACAAAGAGAUGGCACUGUGUCCUCAGACAGCUGCUACACCAUCCUCACUACUACUGUGCCUCGCUACGCCUGCUGGCUGAUGGAAUCUGAUGUCAAGCAGUCAGAACAAGCCCAAAAUCUCACUAAGAAAGAGGAUGGCACUUGUUUGGGAAAUGUUCUGACUGCAGCAGAUGCCGCCUAUGUGUUUUCCAGCAGCCAGCUCUCCACACCUGAAGAAGGAAAGAUCAUUUUCUUCUCUGAUGGGCUCCUGUUUGUCCAUUCUCAAUAUGGGAGCAUUACUCUGUCCAAGGACCACAUCAGCAGCAUCAAGUUCUAUAAUCCGGACUCCAGUGCUGUGGCGUCUCUCUUUGUCGAGUACGAGUCCAGCCUUCUCCCACAUCUCCCAUUCCCUCUCCACAGCUCGGAUCAGUGUCUGGUCUUUGCUCUUCAGCCCAGUUCCAAGAGCCACAAGGCUUUCUAUUCCAAGGAGUUGUCAGUGUGGAAAAACUCUGAAUCUCGACUCAAUCUGCAACUGUUGGACGAAGAGCACUUGACCUGGAACCAGAAAAACAUGCACAAAAGACUGCAGAAACUACACGACAGUCAGGAGCCACCAGUGGCCAAACGCAGAGGCAGUUUAAAGACUUCAUACUCGCAGCUGCCAGAGCAGGAAAUGUUUCUUCAGCAUUUCGCUCUCAGCAGCAUUGGUCAGGAGCCCAUUCUGUACGACCACCUGGGGGUGCUCUUCCCCUCUGCAGAGCUGAGAAACCCAGCCGCUGGCCAGGUAGACAAGGUUGUCAUCACCAUCAUAACUGGACUGCCAGGAAGCUAUAAGAAAAGACUCAGCAGCUUCCUAGUCAACCUGAACAAAGAAUGUGGAAGGUGGGUGGUGUAUGAGCCUGAUCCCGACAGAUUCUCAGCCUCUCACCUCCAGCAGUAUUUAUCCAGUUUCCUGGAGAGCCAGAGAGGCACAAGAGGCAAACCCCGUCUGUUGGUGCUCUCUCCUGGGUACACAGAUGUUCUGGAUAUCAUCCAGGCCGUGCUCUUCCAUCCUGACCCAGUUGUUCAGGCUUGUUUCACCAUCGGUGCUGUCACUGCCUGUGUGAACCCCCUCGCCUCCUGCAUGGAGCACAGGUUUGCUUUUCCUAAGCUGUUGGAGCAGUGCAGCCAAGGUAUUGUGAGUACAGUGGUGUUCACUGGGCUGACAGCAGAGGAGAAGCACCCUCUCAUGCAGCAUGUUCAGCAGUUGGUACGCUCUGCCAACCCCACCGCUGCCUUCAUACUGGCAGAGAGAGGAGCUGUCACCAGGAAUGAAGACGUGAUGCUGAUAUUGUCUGAGAGCAGCUUCAGUGAGCCGCCGAUGCUGAGAGCACGUUAUGUCCUCUACCCUGGAUGGUGCAAAGGCCGUUUCUUCUGUGGUUCCGGGACUGUGGUCCUCACCCAGCAGCGCGUGGCUUUCAGCCGGCCCCUGGAGAGGCCUCUAUUUGUCACCCGCUGUAAAGUGAUCAAGUCAUCACUGAGACCAAGCCCCUUUCAAGGAAAUGUGUACAAUAUUUGGGGAAAAGUCAGAUUCUCUGACUCAGACCGGCUGAUGGAGGUGAGCUACAACGCGGCGAGCGGGAGUCUGAGCGUCGUCCCGGACCAGAGCGCCGACCCUCCGACCCCGGGCCCCAAAGAGAACAACACAUCCUGUUUUCUCGUCUUUGACGGUGUCGGCCUCACUGAGGAUGGACUGAAGGAUUGGCUGCGACUGUGCGCCAAGCAGAGGCAGACAAAGAAAGCUAAGAGAACUAAAAAUACUCUUACACCACAAGAAAUCAAGAGCAUACAUGCGACCAGACACUUGGACCCGCUACCACCAGGCUACUUCUACAACGGGUAUCAAUAUGUCGACAUCUUUGGAGAGAAAAGAAGCUUCCAUCCCAACAUGGACGAGUUCAUCAAAGAGUACGUCUCCGAGGCCAACAAGCAGAUCGAGCAUUUCAACCGUCAGCUGGAGUUGCAUGGGCAGCCUGACCUGUUUGAUCCGUGAUGGAGUCCCUAUGUCAGAAGCAGAGAGAGAACAUGAAUUCAGGCUGCAUCUAAACGCUGUUUCUGCACCAGCCGAGCCACGGAGGUCCCUGUUAUGGGGAUUUGGGGAAACCUGGACUAAACAGAGUGUCUAUGGAGCGAAUAAAGGAAGAAAGCCUGUGAGUGUGUGUGUGUGUGUGUGUGUGUGUCCUUGUAUUGUUGCCAGGCAGAUGCAGUCCUCCACAUGGCUAACCUCUGACAUCAGCGUUUCCUCGCCUCUCUCCUGCCACCACAGCGCCGCCACUUUCUCCCCAGCGACUCUAAGGCAAGACUACCCGCCCAGAUACACACUUGAAACACGCUCUCACCGUAUCUCCUACACCGUUAACUGCCCUUUUUCCCCCCUCCUCCCCACCCCUCCAUUGUUGUAUUUUUACCGAGGCACUGAGCUGAGGCUAUUUGUGGGCUAUUAUGACAGCCACAUGUAAACACUCAUCACUCUCACUGGUGUCUGCCAAAGCCUGCUGAGUGGGUCCAGGUCACUACAACAAUGGAUCACUGUGCUGGAUCUGUUCACUUUCUCUAAAUGGGAUUACAGGGGAGUUCUUUUUCAGUUGUUUUUUUUACUCUAAUAAGGUGAUAUGUUGCAUGAUUUUGUAGGCUCGAAAGAAAGUUUUGUGGCAGUUCAUAAGCGACACCUAGCUAGAAGUAAUCCUGUCUUGCAAUGAAGCCAACCUUCACAAUAAAUCGCCGUGAAUGAAGGAUUUACUGCAGAACCGCACUGCAGCUGAGACAAUGUUAUUGCUCAGCUAGUUUUUAACCUCAGCAAUGUAAUUCGAGGAAAGUUUAGAGUCUGCAAAGUGACUAAAUUUUGUCAGUACACAUGCUAAAUCUACUUUGAAGUCCGAGUAGUAAACACUGCUGUCACAUGCUGUAAUGAAAUGCACAAAGAAAACAGAGGAGCUUCCUAUCAUAGCUGCAGAACAUAAGAGGUGAAUUCUCAUCCAUAUAUGUUAGUAUGCACAGUUAAAAAUCCUCAUAUCCUCAUCGAAUUUUGAUUUAUAGUUGGAUUUGUGGGUUUGUUCCAGCUGGAAAUUCCAUAAUCCAAUAAUGAAAGAUGUUGAGAUGUUGUAUUAGUGAUGAUAACUAGGAAUUUCUGGGGGUUUUUUUGUGUUUUUUUUUUUUUUACAUUUUUACUUAAAAUGCCAGGUACAAAAAUAGUCAAACCCCUUCAAAUGUAGCAAAUUUUUGAGGAAAUGCACCUUCUGUACCAUCUCAAAGCUUUAGAGCAGCGGUCCCCAACCACCAGGCUGCGCAGAAGGAAUAUAAGCAUUUUAUUUUUGAUUUUAUUUCCGGCAGAAUCUGCAGGAUGUUUUAUUUUGAAAAAUGACUAGAUCGUCUUCCUGUCGCUUCCGUCUGCGCUUGUUUCCCGCACUCAGUUUUCACGCCUGACUCUUACACGAAGCCAUCAGCCAAAAUUGAUUAAAAAGAUCUCUGGAGAGCUUCUUUGAAAAGAUGGAGAGAAUUAGACAGAAGCAAGAGUAAAUACAUAUUUAGCAAUAAAAGCAAAUUGGAUUCGUUUAGAAUACUUAUUUGAAAUUUUAAAAACUCAACUAAUACUUACAUGCGUGAUGACCAGUCCGUAGAAAAUUGUCUUGCUUGAAACCGGUCCGUGGUCAAAAAAGAUUGGAGACUUCUGCUUUGGAGUGUUCUAAUGAAUUUUAAAUUGAGAAUAGUGAUGCAGUCGUCAGUUACUAGUUUUUUGCAAGUUAUGGCUGAAUCUAAAGAGCUUAGUGAGCUUGUCAUUCGACUCCAUCCUUGAGACAGACCUGCACAUUGUGGCCGCUCACAAGAUGGAGAAAGUCAUCUCCAAGUGUUUUCAAGUACCGGUGGCCACAGUGCAAAGCAAAAAGUACAAAGAGUUCCACACUGAGAAAAGUCUCAAAGGACGUGGUAGGAAGACAAAAGUGGCUCCUGCACCGGAAAGAAUGGUAAAAGCCCGGAGGAAUCCAAGGAUCAGCACCAAGAGCAUCCCGAUGAAUCGGAGUAAUUCUGGUAGCAACGUCUCAAUCAGAAACUCUAGCAGACACUGAACAAAGCAGGUCUCCAUGGAUCAGACCAAGAAGGACUCCACGUCUCCAGGAUAGAUAUUAGAAAAGCUCAUCUGGACAAAGAAGAAAGCUCUUGAUCAUCAGCUCUGUGGUGGUUGAGAUGAAAAUGAAAUUGUUUGGACACAAGAAUGAAAGAAGAAAGGAAAAAAAACAUUCAAUUCCAGCAACACCAUCCUCACAGGAAAACAUGCUGAUGAGAACGUGAUGCUUUGUUGUUAUCUUUCAUCAAGAAUCUGUGGGGGGAAGUGAAGAUGAGAGUGAUGACAAGGAACCUUCAAGACCUGGGGAUGGAAGAGUGGUCAGAAAUCCCAGUGGAGGCCUGGAACAAGCACCAUUUGAUUACUGAGAAAGGAUACGAAUACCUUCGACGUGGCAUUUUUACAGUCGUUAACAAUCCGAACACACUGUCUUUCUGCCUUUUCUUGCUUCUUUAUGCCAUUUCUAACCAGAAGAAACCUGUGGAUCAAAUAAAAAUUCACUGGGAAUCCAAUUUUUUGGCAUAGUUAUUGAAUGCAUUUUGGAUUUGCCACUUAUGUGUUGUAUAGAUGUAAAUUCAAAUUGUUUAUCUCAAAAUUUAUCUCAGACUGCCAGGGCACCUAACCCAUAGCAGCAUUUUAGCAAUUUAAAGUUAUAAUCAUACUAAUGUUUAAUGACCUUUCAAAGGCCAUUUUUGCAUCAUUAACAUGAAGAACUGAAAUGAUGUGCAGCUUCUGCAAAACAAAAGACUUGUCCAGAUUUAGACAUUGUCUUCACAGUAUGUUUUUAUUGCACACCCUUUGACAACCAUCAUUCAUAAUGCAGAUUUGUUUCUCAUAAUAAUAAUAAUCCACUCUUAUUCAGUUUCAUAUCAAGGCCGAGCACCACUGCUGAGCACCAUUAUUAAGCUAGAAAAGUUUUAUCUGUGCUGAAAACUACCUGAAUCAAACAAUAGCUUGUCAUGUGGGUCUAUUGCUUCAUAGCUGAAAAGUUUACACAGUCACAGCGAUAUAGUUUAAAAUCAAUUUCCAUUCACUUUAUUAUGACUGGCAUUAAAAAGGUUGCAUCUGUGUUAAGUUGACGCAGCUAAAACCUGAAAGAUCGUUGCUCACAGUUUGAAUUAUUUGCUAAUAUUUUCAACUCUAUCAGUAGCUUCAUAAGGCAGCUCAUUGAUUUCACACUUGUCUGUCCAGCUGCAUGAUGUCAAAGGUCAUCAGAACAUCCAUGUCACUGGACUCCCCGAAGGAGGCGGCCAGUUUCAGCUGCUGGAGCCCGUUCCCGCUGAAAACCUCUGCCUCCCACACCCUGCUCUUGUUCAUUUUGAGAUCAGUUCUUGCUUCCCCCACCACGCACACCCUCUGGGCCCCGGGGACCCUCACCCUGAAGCGGACCCAGGAGAGGGGCUCCAGCAGGCCUGCGCGAGGCUCAAAGAGCACGCAGCCUUUCCUCCAGGCCGAGUAGACGCAGGGGAACGGCAGCCCCGGCUGAUCGCAGCUGUUCCUCAGAACAAAGUCACACAUGGGGUUGAAAUCUCCGGCGGGGGUGAUCCUCGCGUAGAGGCCUAGCCGGUACGCCCCGGCAUCAGGCAGGCUGACGCUCACCGUCACCUUGCUGUCCGUGUACGUGCAGAACAAGUGGCGGGAAAGCGGAAAAGCCGCCGUUUUGUUUCCUUCUCUGCUGAGCACGCUGUGAAGCUCGAGGUCCCGCUGGUUGUAAAAGGUGAUGUUACACUUGCCCUGCUGGGUACUCACCACUGCAGCCGUAUGACUGAAUUUGGACAAACCGGCUUCUGACGUCCGGGUUCCCGGUCCGCAUGCCGAGCCCAGGUUAGGAGGGAACAGCUCAUCUGGACCGACCACCUUCCCUUUGCAGUGCAACAGGAAGUUUGCAGCAUUCUGGAACUUCAAUUCUGUUUUCUCAUAGUCUCGUACGAACACCGACAGCCGGUAGAAGCCAUGCAUAGGGCAGAGGACGUGGCAGGUCAGGGUGUCUGGUUGGAUCUGAGUAGCCAGGCAGCGCUUGGCCACAGCCGCCUCCAUCUCCGGGUGGACCAGUUCACACAGCACCAUCAGAGGCCUGGAGGUCUUCAGCACCAAAUCAAACAUGCCUUGUUCCACCUCGGCAACCUCGCUGCCCUGACUGCUGCUGGCAACGCCCAGAGAUCCUGCAACCGGCUGCAGGCCCCAAGACAGGAAGGGGUUCUCUGGGAUCACCUCCAUCGCCCUGGGGGUCGGACACUCGACUGUGAAGGAGCAAACCCAGAUCAAAGAUGUGGUAGCUGCUUCCGGUCUGGCAAACACUUUCACGUCGUAACUGCCGCUCGCAGGCGGCAGCAGCUGCAGCUUCAUGCUCCGAUGGGAAACCGUCAGGAGGCCGAACGAGGAGUUGCUGGACUCUUUGUGCUCCGAAGCUCCACAGUGGAGGAGGUCCUGGUGCUGGGUGAUCUCAUAGGUGAAAGUUGAAGGCCUGGAGAAGCCGAGGGACACGUUUGCCUCACCAUCAACUGGGAGAGAAAUGAAAAAGAGCAGUUCGUUGAAAAGACAGAGGAAGAAUUUAGCAAGAUGAAAACAUUUGUAUGUUAAAUAACUGAAAUUGGACCUGUGACGAUGUGGAAGUGAUGAGGUUGAAUCAGCCGGAGCCCCAUGGUGAAGAAGGCCGACGUCUUGAAGACCCUCCUCUCGAACUCCUCCAGGGCGAUGGGCGCGUCUAGGAGCUGCCACUUUUCCUCAUCGGGGAAGUGUGAGUCUAUUAACUCCUCUGGGUCCGUCAGGAAAUAGAAAUCGUCAAACCUUGGAGGCAACAGAUGGAGACGGCAGACUGGUUUGAGACUCGCUGCUGGUUGCAAGCGUAUCAAAAAUAAACAAAGAGCAAACUGUGACACUUCAGUCUCGGUUGCCCUGCCAGGGUGCUGUUAUGGAAAAGUGUGCAGUAAAAACAGCUUUAAUAUCCCACUUUCGAGGGGGUAUGUUCUCGUAAAACUCCAUACUCAUACCUUUUGACGAAGCUUUCGUGCUCCAUAUCCACUCGUCCUGCUCCCCAGCAGGCGUCCAGCAGGAACCACUGUCCUCCCAGAAGCACAGCGUUCCACAGGUGAUCAGAUUUCACAUGCUUGAGGCUCUGGCCCUGACGGUACCCGAUGCCUUUACUGUGGCCCGGCACUUCUUGACACUCAAUGCCCACCUCCCUGUAAACACAAACAGAUCACUGUGUUUUGUUUUGCACCCAAUGUCCUCAAACUCGAGUUCAAGGCAGCGUGUGCACAAAUUCAUCAUUUCACUGGAAGAACCUGUCUUCACUUGAGAGGGGAUCAAGGAUGCAUUGAAUAGGGAAGUAAUGGAAGAACGAAACAGCACAGAUGUUUUAAAAAUGAAAAAUCUCAAGAAAAGUAAUUUUUCUUGCUGUAGAUAAUUUAAUUGAUGCACACUCGCAUAAGUGCUUUACUGAACUGUAUAAACAAUACAUCAGCUCCCUUUUACACCUUUUACACAAACAAUAAAUUCAAUAGCAAGUGCGAAAUGAAUACCGUAGAUGACAAACCCGCAAUUAUCGCCUGACUCUGCAGGUCCCCCCAUAUCUACAGCAGCGUUUUAGCAAUUUUUAGCUCAUUGUGCCGAGUUUUCUGGCCUGCAACCUCGUCUCUUAUCAACCCGGUUUCCACGGCAGCUGGCAAACGGCCUCAUUACUCAGCUGCAGGUUUCGCCAUCCAGCACCGGACUGAAACAAAGUCAACCUGGUGGGCAGAGUUCAAUUUGUACGGUUUUCAAAACGGUCUGCGGUAAUGUCAAGCUCACCAGAUUUUGAAUAAAAGCGAGAGAGGAUGAGUCACUGUGAAUUAAUAGCUCCAGUUUCAGAGCAUUUUACCUGCACAUCUCUGUACAAAGAUUGGAGUAGCUGCAGCAAACACCUCGACCAGCUGCUAUCACGUCCUCAGGUGCGAUUAGUUUCUCUGAGUGGCCGAGGUACCCGCUCACAUCAUACUCUGUGAAAAUAUGAGAUAAAAAGUCCAAAAUAUGACAUCUGGUCCCAAAAAAAACCCCAUACAUAACCUAUCCUAAAACCCAUAAUGUGUUGGCAAUCCCUAAGUAAGUUGUGCUAUGUAUAGUUUGCAUGCUUCAGUAAACCCACCAAUGUUGUUGCACAGCCAGACCCAGAUGGCACGAAGUUUCUCCAGCUCAUUCCUGGCUCCCUGCGUGAUGCUCUGCACUAUCGCCUUCACAUCAUACACUCGCUUUUCCUUCAGCUGCAACAACACACAAAGAUAUGUCAGAUGAAGGAGGUUUUUAUAGGUAAUUAACGAAUCCAAACAUGGAGUCUUUGUGUUUUUAAGUUUUCAUGUAAACAAGCCUUUUAUGUCCCAUCAUCCUGUUUGUCAGAAUCUUUUCAGCAACAUCCUGUAGAUUCAGAGAUGAGAGUGCUGCCUAAUUAUUCCUUCCCUGCAAUGAAAUCUUUAGCAUGGAUGAAAUUAGGGAUUGACCGAUAUCAGGUUUUUUAGGACCAAUAACCAACAUUUGGGACCCAUAUAAAUUAAAUUUAGUGUUUUAACAGCAUGUGAUAGCAGAAAACCUGUCAUUCACAGACUUAUUCAUUAAUAAGAGUGACUAUAGCUGAAUAUGUAAAAUAGAAAUAAGAGAGAUUAAAUUAUCUCCACUGUUUAUGUGAGAUCGACUAAUAUUGAUCAGUUUGUCUCCUGCAGUUACAUCUUUUUUCUUAAUAUUUGACUGUUCUGUUACUUUUAUUGUCCACUAAGGUCCAGAUCUUAAAGCAUUAUCAAUUAUUGUUUUCCAGACUCUGUUUCAGGUUAAUCUGUGGCUGCCCUCUAGCUUAGCCACUAGCCAUUAGCAUAGCCUUAGCCACCAUGAGAGUCACUUAUUUUCUGGUUUGUGGUGUUUCUUGUUCAGACGGAGAGCGGAGGCUGCAUCUGACCUGAAGUAGUGCAUUUAAUUUGUUACUAAUCGGUCAAUAAGAAUACCAACAUGACCAAGUAUCACCCAUGAUAAUCAGCCAGGCCGAUAACUGGUCUGUCACUAGAUUAAAUGAAGGAUUUGGAAGCAGAGUGGUCUAACCAACUUUCUGCAGUAUUUGAGAAAAAUGGGUUCAAAGUUUUGUGUUUUCAAGAAUGGUCCAACAUUGCAAGUGUCACUAUAACACUAUAUUUGGAUUGUGUGUUCAGACCACUUUUCCACUAAAAUCUACACCAUAAAAUAUAACAAAUUAUAUAAAACUCAGUUUGGAUUUUUUGUGGGUUAGACCACUCUGCUUCUAACCCCUUCAGAUAACUGAUUGACUAACAAUGAAUUGAUAACUUUUGGCAGGUCGAUGGGUGUUCAUCACUGCUUAGCCUAAAAAAAGCUAAGCAUUUUAGCAUCUUUUCUGUGUGAUGUUGCCCUUGAUCUUGGUGCUUUGGUGUCCUCACCUCUGCUCCAAUCCUGAUAACAUGAGAAUCAACCCUGUGGAAGACCUCUGAGCUGGUGAAGAGAUCUUUCCGUCGCUUUCUUUUGCCGGACACAGCAUCACACGGCGUCACCAGCCUCCGUCCUGGCUGCACCUUCGGCUGCAGGUGUCUUGACUCGUCGGCCUCCGUCCUCACGGCGCUCUUCUUCACCACCGUGAUAGUCCUGGCGGCGCUCUCGGACGACAGCUGCCUCUUCGCCGCCGGACGCUGAUCUUCGCUUUCCACCGUCAGCUUCUCGAACACGGUCCGUCUGGAGACGACGGCAUUCUGGGAGGCUUCGGCGCUGACCAGCACCUGAGCAGAUGGAGGCUCUGGAUUCUCCUGGACCUUCUUCUCAUUGUGCACUAAAGCACCUGUGACACCGACUGGUUUCGAUUCACCUAAAAUCUGAGUCUCCAGGGUCUUCACCUGCACGCAUCCUUUUUGGGUCACCUCAUCUUGCUGUGGAAGAUGAGAAGAACAGGCGAACGGGAAGGAGAACUUCUGGAUAGCGACUUCGGCUGACAUUAUGCUGGAUGCAUGGUUUCCUAACCAGAAAGAGAAGGCAGAUAUAAUUUAAAAGACAGCCCUUAUUUGCUGGGGUAUUUUUAGCUUAAUCCUGUGAGCAGGUAGUAACUUGUUCUGCUUAAGAUGAGACACUCGGAUGCUGCAGGAAAAGAUCCUCGACGUUGUGCACUGAGGAGGGAAGCAGCAGGUUUAUUCUACAAACUACAUUCUGUGCGAGACAGUGACAAAUUGGCAAUUACAUUAUGUCUAUUCAUAACCAUAAAUGAACGCAAAGGUUGGAAUCAUUAGUCACUGUCACUGCCAGCAGCACAAAGAGUGUGACCCUAUAACUUCAUGCAGAUUGAUGGGCCGUGUUUCGUAAUUUCUUAGAAAUAAGCAACACGGGAGCGAGUUAAAUCCGUUGAAAAACUACUUAUUUUUUCAAAAGCGGUUGGUAAUCAUCUUUCAAUUGGAUGACCUGUGCUGAAGCCCACCUCAAGCAGGAAAUUAUCAGCACUGUUUUGCAGCUCAACCUUCCCAGACUGCAGCUAAAAUGAAGGUCCCAGAAGAUACUGGAAGGUUUUACCCCUUAUGUUCGAGAUUUAUACCAACAUGAGGGUCAAAACCUUUCAACAUCUGCCUUACUGAUUUGUUCUGCAGCAUAUUUUAGCAGAAUUUUUACUAUUUUAGAUAUUUCCUGACGUCAUUCAUGCUCGUUUUGCCGCUCAUGGUGGAGGCUUUACACCAACGUGAAGGUCAAAACCUUUCAAUAUCUGUUCUACAAGAGAGUUUCCUUCUACUGUUGCAGAGUGAAAGUGCAGAAUAUUUUGUUGUUGGGUUGGAAAUCUGCCUACAGUUAAGAUCCUUUCAGAUGGAAAUAAAAACCUUGCAGAACAGCCUGAGUUCAGUCCACAAAUUUAGACAGAAUUCAGGAACUGUCUUGCUCCACCGUCUUCCGAUUUUCUUCGGAGUUUACUGAUUUGUUCAGUAUAAUAGUUACAUUUUCGAUGUUUCCAAACCUUGAGUUUUUUCUGUUUUCACGCUCAUGUUCAUACUUGUUUUGCCGCUCUUGUUGGAAAUUCAAACCAACGUGAAGGUCAAAACCUUUCAACAUCUAUUCUACAGGAGAGUUUUCUUCGACUGUUGCAUAGUAAAAGUGCAGAAUAUUUAGUUGUUGGGUUUGAAACCUGCCUGCUAGUAUUAAAGUUUCUUUCAGAUGGAAAUGAAAAUCUUGCAGGGUCAGUCAAUGAAUUUAGAUAGAAUUCUAGUGUUAUAGUUUACCGAUUUGUUCUGUUGCACAAUUUAGCUAAAUUUUAACAGUUUCAGAUGUUUCCUGACCUCAUUCCUGCUCGUUUUGCAGCUCUUGUUGGAGAUUUACACCAACAUGAAGGUCAAAACCUUCACAUACCUCUUCUACAGGAGACUUUCCUUCUGCUGUUGUAUAAUUAUAGCGCAGAAUAUUUAGUUGUGGGGCUGGAAACCUGCCUGCUCACAGUAAAGAUCUCUUCAGAUGGAAAUAAAAAUCUUGCAGGAUCAGUCCAUGAAUUUAGACAGAAUUCAAGUAGUAUGGUGCCCCACCAUCUUCUGAGUUUACUGAUUUGUUCUGUAAAACAUUUUAGCUGAAUUUCAGAUGUUUCCUGACCUUGUUCAUCCGCGUUUUGUCGCUCAUGUUGGAGAUAAACCUCAACAUUAUGGGGAAAAUUUUUUAACAUCUGUUCUACAGCAGAGUUUUCCUCUACUGUUUCAUGAUAGGAGUGCAAAACAUUUAGUUGGGUUGGAAAUCUGCCUGCUAAAGACUCUUUCAGAUGGAAAUAAAAACCUUGCUGACCAGCCUGUUAACGUAUUGGUUCAGUCCAUGAAAUCAGGAAACAUGUUGCUGUAAAUCUCGAACAUUAACAGCAAAAUGAGCACAAACGUUCAUGAUAACAGGCUGUUCUACAAGGUUUUUAUUUACGUCUGAAAGGAAUUUUAUUGUUGGCAGACAGAUUUCCAACCCAACAACUGACUGUUCUUUGUUCUGUGUAAUAUUGUAGCUGAAUUUUGACAGUUUCAGAUGUUUCCCGACCUCGUUCAUGCUCGUUUUGCUGCUCUUGUUCAAGAUUUCCAUCAACACCAGUGGUGAAACUUUGUCAACAUCUGUUCUACAGGAGAAUUUUCUUCUACUGUUGCACAGUGAAAGUGCAGAAUAUCUGGUUAUUGGGUUGGAAACCUGCCUGCUAAAGAUCCUUUCAGAUGGAUUUAAAAACCUUGCAGAACAACCUGUUAACAUGGAGUUCAGGAAUGAUGCUGCUCCACCAUCUUCCGAGUUUACUGAUUUGUUCUGUAGCAUAUUUGAGCCAUAUUUUGAUAGUUUGAAAUGUUUUCAAACCUCACAAUUUUUCUACUUUCAUGCACAUGUUCAUGCUCGUUUGGAGAAAGUCUCCAGCAUGAGCGGCAAAACCUUUCAACAUCUUCUGGAACCUUCAUUUUAGCUGCAAGUUCUGAUCGCUGAUGCCACUUUUAAUGUUCUUAACUCUUCAGAACGCCCACUUUCGUCUGAUUUACGCUCUAACGCAGCGGUCAUCUCGGCAGGUUUCGGCUUCUACUCACCCUGAGAGGAUUGAAAAUGCCUGCUGGAUGUCUGCUGGAGCGUCGUGGGCCGAGAUGUUUCCACUGCUGAGCUCUCAGUGGUCCCCAGCUGCAGCAGGGGGAGGCUUAUAUAGUCUCCCAGUGGCCUGCCAGGACAGGCCCCAGAAUAACAGGCCUAAAAAUACUACAAAGCAGUUAAGACCAGCCAAUGGAGUAAAGCUCCAACCGAGGAGCGUGACGUCCGCCAGCGUGGCCUGCAGAUGUACACUCAGAUUAUUCUGUACGUGCACUGGCUAAUCGGCGUGAACACACAACAUUCGUGCACGUCGGCAUGCUUUUCCGUUGGCGUCUGGGUGGAGGGUGGAGGUGGAGGGUGGGCGAGCUGACAGGUGGAGAAGUUGGCAUGUGAGCACGUGCAGGGCUGGAUUCAGUCAAGAGUCGACUGAAGAAAAAAAAGCGUUUAUGGAAGGUCCUGGCACCUGAUAACAGCCACAUCAGCAUCAAAGGCCCACAAAUACAUACAAAUACACACAAAUACUGGUAGAACACCUGUUAGAAGGAUGUACUGAAAGAAGUGAGGAAAAACUCAAUUUAAGAAUGGAAUAAAAGCUUUUAAAAAAGUGUCAAAUGUAAGGAAACACUUGGGAAAUAUUGUUUAUUCCACCGUUAAAUAAGAAUAUCUACAUGAGGAGGCCACAUUCAGCCCAAUUUGAUCUUUGAUUGUAGAUGUAUAAAAUGGUAUAUAGAAUUCAUGAACCCUAAAAAAUUACACAAACUUUGGAAGCAACUUUUCAAAAUACAAGCCCCCAUCGAUCUCACUCAGAUGAAAUAUAGUGAUAAACUUCUACUUUGCUCUUGUAAGAAUAAUUGUAGAUAUAUUAAAGUGUAUAUAAUAAUAAUAAUGAAACCUUAAAAAACAGAUUCAAUCAGAAAGUGAUACGACUUUGGGAACAGCUUUUCAAAAUAAAAGCCCCCAGCUAUCUUGCUCAGGUGAAAUAUGAUGAUAAACUCCUACUUUGCUCUUAUAAGAAUAAAUAAAAAUAAUUGUAGAUGUAUUAAAGCGUAUAUAGAAUUCACGAAACAGACAAAUCUCUCUAUAAAAACAGCCAUAUGGAUAUCUGUGGAUAAUUACACAAAUAAUUGCACUUUUAAACACACGGAUAUGUGCCUUAAACACAGAUUAAAAAGGAUAAAUGAAUAAAAAAGACAUGUAAUGAUGUUUUCCACCAAACUACAAAAGAGGCAACAAAUGAUGACAUUUCUAAACACAAGGUUCAUUAAAAAAGAAUGUACCAUAAAUAAAAACAUGUCAGUUUAAGUAAAUAUUUCAGGUUAAACUGAGCCAAACAGGAAGAAGAAAUACCUACAUGUACUUGAAUCAAAGCUCAGUCUGGUGAAGCUUUGAACUCUGAACCAGUUCUGGGCCUUUUAAGGAAACAUCUGAGGAGGCUGAGAGGUUUUCUCACCUUUAUCUCCGAGUCGACGCUGGGGAAACCCAGAUUUAGAGAGAUAAAGGAGUUGUUGGGUGAUGCAGGAUUACAUAACGCUGCCAUAUGCUGGUGUUGAUGCUGAUGGUGGGGCGGCGGAGGGACCUCCACCUCAGAGCCAGAUGACGGUGGAAGAGCACAGCGAUAAUGCCAUCUGGAGCAGCUGUCAGCAACCAGGAACCUCGUGGUGGCUUAUUAGGGAGCAGAGCAGCAGUCGGGGGGAUUGUGAGGCUCACCCAGGGGAGAUGUGAGAUGGAAUAAAGAAGGGAGAGGAGAUCACUGAGAUGCAGCGCUGCUAAUCUGCUGAGUGGCUUUCAGAGCUGGAAAUGUGGAGCUCAGGUAGAGUGGAGUUCAGAGUUUAAGAGUUCAUCAGAACAAGAACAGAACUUUAUUAUUAUUACUGUAGCAUAAUUAUUGGACAAUAUGGAGAAGUCACUGUAACAACAAGAACGUUUGUAAGAACAUUUGUAAGAACAAAUUUAGUGAAAAGAUUUUUCAUGUACACUUUAAAGCCAAUUUUACAUGUAAACACUUUUUCCUGUGAUUUUCUUAGUUAUUAUACAUGAUUUAACAAACCUGGGAAAACCUGUAAAAUAACACAAAAAUUCAUUAAAAACAUUUUUUUACAGUGUAUAAUUACUAUAAAUUCAAAAUGAUGUAGUUUGAUUAAAGUGCAGUGGAUUCAAUUAAUCAAGCAUCUAAAGUUGUGCAGCAUUGCGGCUAAAUCAUCCUCCUCGUGUUUAUUUGUGACUGGAAGAGUUAAAAAAUCAGUUUCUUUUAGAUGUAAACGAUCAGCUGGUUUCAUAUUCUUCAAGCAUAUGAAACAUAUUUUGACCUUUGGCUGCUGUGUGAUCUGAAAACCAGCAGAAGACGUUAAAAACCAGCUCUAGAACUAACUUCUAGCUGCUCUAAGGCUCUUUGUUGUCCUGGUUCUUGUUGGAGGAUCAGGAACUAGAGAGCGUUGCUCCCUGCUGGAGAUGGAGAACCAGCUCCUCCGAGUCUCACAUGGACCAACAGGCCUCCUUUUCCAGCUAUUUUUACACCAUAAAAGGCCCGUUUUUGUCGUUGCAGCAACAGUCUGAGUUCAUUAAGAUGAGAAGAAUCCCAGCCUGGACUUGUAGUUUGUGUUCUGAAGCUGUAAUGUGGUUUGAUUCGUGCUUAGAGACAAACAUCAGCCUGAUCAGACGAGCUCUCUGUGAAUGUGUUCUAAUAAGACGGAGCUUUAUUUAGCUCGUCUACCUGAGGGUUCUGGGCAGGAAAUAAUCAAAUAAACCCCACGAGUCUCCAACUUCCAGCCUCUCCACUUCUUUUCCCAUUUAACAGCUGGUGAACGCAACAUAAAAAAAGAAAAAAACAGUGUAAUCUGCACAGCUGGCUGCUAAAAAUCAUUUUAAUAAUGGCUUGGUUAUGCACUGUAACUUCUACUGUAUUAGUAAAAAAAAAAAAAGAAAAGGACUAAUGGUAAACAUGGCUGUGAUGAUAUUAACACAGGAGCCCAGCUAAGCUCCUUACACACAGGACUUACACAAAUACCUGCAGGGGUGGAGCAUCCGGAGGUAAUAUUGAUAUAUUUUUAUUUGUAGGUCAUAAAAUGAGGAUUGAAAAGUGUUUGGUGCAACUUUAGCAGCUGCAUAAAGACAAAAUAUAACUUGCACUGUAGAAAAAAGGUGAAAAAGAUGCUGGAAGCUUUAAGCAAAAUUAUUUUUUUUAACCUGUUUGGUGUAUUAUUUUAACAGUAUAAUGCAAUAAAUAUAUAUAAAUAUAGACUCAUAUUGAUGCUAUAUUUGCUUCAAUGCAUCUGUAAGUUCGACAUGCACAUUACAGAAGCAGUAUAUCUGUUAUUAAAUGCUAAAACACUGCAAUCUACACCUUGUUUCCUGUUUGUUUUUGGAGCAUUUAAACCAUUUGUUUUCACCUGAGGACCUGGACAUUGCAAGACAAUUUGAAGUUAAUAAAAAGCUGCAUAAUUACUGCAGUUAAGUAUUUUUACUGACGCGUGGGUCUCUAGAAAACUCAAAAUGUGUCGCAACAUGAGAAACAAGACAGAAAAACACACAAAUCUGGUAUGUAUCCACUACAGGGAAGUAUUUUUUUCCAACUUUACAUAAAUCUGUGCUUUUUCUGAUGAGCUUCUUGUUAAUUUUAUGCUUAAAAUGAACCCACUACGGAUUUUAUUUUUGCCUGCUCUGUGGAACACUUUAACACCACAAUGCAAUGUGUGUAUCAUGUUCUCUGCGUUUUUGCACUGUGUGUUUCUAAUUUAUUCUGUACUGCCUUUAUACUACUUUUUGUUCUUGGAGCUGCUGUAAUGGUGAACUUUCUCCACUGUGGGAUCAAUAAAGUUUAUCUUAACAUAUAUGAAUAAAGGCUCAUAAUGAUGCCAUGUUGCCUUUUUUGGAUUAUUUGCUUUAAAAUCCAGCACAAAAUGAUGCAUCUGUGUGUUAAACCAUCUAAGUUUCAGAUGUCUAUAUUGUGAAAUUAACAAUUUGUACCUCAUUUCUUGGGUCCCAAGACAACACAAAAGGUGUCACAACAUGAGAAACAGGAUGGAAAAGCAAAUAAAAAUGCUGCAUAACUACUGCAGCAAAGUGA